rnacentral:rRNA from 1 species
GGACUACUCGGGUAUCUAAUCCCAUUCGCUCCCCUAGCUUUCGUUCCUCAGCGUCAGUAAUGGCCCAGUAAGUCGCUUACGCCACCGGUGUUCUUCCCAAUAUCUACGCAUUUCACCGCUACACUGGGAAUUCCACUUACCUCUACCAUACUCGAGUCUGCCAGUAUCCAGUGCACUACACGGGUUGGGCCCGCGCCUUUAACACCAGACUUAACAAACCACCUACGAACUCUUUACGCCCAAUAAAUCCGGACAACGCUCGCAUCCUACGUCUUACCGCGGCUGCUGGCAC